UACGGAGGGGCUAGCGUUGUUCGGAAUUACUGGGCGUAAAGCGCACGUAGGCGGCUUUGCAAGUUAGAGGUGAAAGCCCGGGGCUCAACUCCGGAAUUGCCUUUAAAACUGCAUCGCUAGAAUUGUGGAGAGGUAAGUGGAAUUCCGAGUGUAGGAGGUGAAAUUCGUAGAUAUUCGGAAGAACACCAGUGGCGAAGGCGACUUACUGGACACAUAUUGACGCUGAGGUGCGAAAGCGUGGGGAGCAAACAGG
rnacentral:rRNA from 1 species